CCUAAAGCGUCCGUAGCCGGUUUAAUAAGUCUCUGGUGAAAUCCGUGCAGCUUAACGUGUGGGAAUUGCUGGAGAUACUAUAGACUUGAGACCGGGAGAGGUUAGAGGUACUCCCAGGGUAGAGGUGAAAUUCUGUAAUCCUGGGAGGACCGCCUGUUGCGAAGGCGUCUAACUGGAACGGUUCUGACGGUGAGGGACGAAAGUUAGGGGGCGCGAACCGGAUUAGAUACCCGGGUAGUCCUAACUGUAAACGAUGCGGACUUGGUGUUGGGGUGGCUUUGAGCUGCUUCAGUGCCGAAGGGAAGCUGUUAAGUCCGCCGCCUGGGAAGUACGGUCGCAAGACUGAAACUUAAAGGAAUUGGCGGGGAGCACCACAACGCGUGGAGCCUGCGGUUUUAAAUUGGAUUCAACGCCGGACAUCUCACCAGAGGCGACAGCUGUAUGAUAGCCAGGUUGAUGACUUUGCUUGACUAGCUGAGAGUAGUGGUGCAUGG
rnacentral:rRNA from 1 species